CGGUUUUUCUUGUUUGUUUUUUGUGCACUGUCGUUCAUACAGUAUGAUCGACUAGCACCUUAUACGUUGUUAUACGGAAAUACGUUGAUCUGUUUACCGAUACGCCGACGGAGCAGAAAGAAGAAAGGGAAGUGCUCCUCCAUCCUGUGCAGAUCUCGGACGAGAUGCUGCAAUUCCCCACUGCCGAGCACUCUACUCGCAAAUGUUCAAUCCCUGGACAAUAAAAUGGACGAGCUACACGCACGGACUAAUUUCCAGCGGGACAUCACAAACUGCUGUGUGCUGGCUUUCACUGAGACCUGGCUGGAUCCUAUGGUGCCUGACUCGGCCAUCACUCCGGACGAUUUUUUCCAUCUACCGGCAGGACAGAAUCUACAAGUCGGGUAGGAGCAGAGGUGGAGGGCUGUGCUUGAUGGUGAACUCUCGCUGGGGCUUGAAUGUUGAUUGCUUUCAGCUCUCUGCUCACCAUCAGAAUAACAGCUAUUAUUCGGAUUGAUUGUGUUUGUAAAUGCAAUAACUUGAAAGAAACAUUACAUUAAUUCUACGAAAUUAAUUCUGCUGCAGAGACCAAGUGUUUUUGUUUUCACCACAUGGACACCAGCGUUGGCCCUCAUGAUGAAAAGCUCUCUGGACAGCUUCAUUGGUGUCUGCUACGUGGUAUUCUUUUUGAAAACCUGUCCUUAGAGCCGUCCACUUUCACAGAAAAUCUGUAGCUAGGUUUUCUCCGGGUGCUCCGGUUUACCUAUAUAUUUUCUAAUAAAAUUUUAAAAAGUAUAUAUACAUGUAGUUGGUCUUGAAUUCCCUCCUCAAUAAACUGAAAACAUUGCUUUGAAAAUGUGUAAAGUAAAAUAUUGAACUGUAUACGGGAGCUGAGGGUUUACGAAAAAGGGACAAGCGUACGGAAAAAAUUCAAACAUAACGCUGACGGCCACUGGAUAUUACAGAACUAUUGGAGGUUUGAAAAAUGUAAGAUGAUGGCUGUAAUGUGAACAAGUUGAUCUUUUGUCUUUUAAUGCUUGAAAAUGUUUAACAACAAAUUUUUCCAUCUUCCGGCAGGACAGAACCUACAAGUCGGGUAGGAGCAGAGGUGGAGGGCUGUGCUUUAUGGUGAACUCUCGCUGGGGCUGGAAUGUUGUGUGCUUUCAGCACGCUGCUCACCAGACCUGGAGCUGCUAUUGCAGUUGUAGAUACCAGGACUGAGAGGCACCCAGCUUACAGAGGGCAGAAGAAGACAGAGACGAUGGAAGACUCAAUCCGAUUUUCAUCGAACCCUGAAAUGAUACCAAGAUAAAUGGUCUUCGUACCUGAUGAGAUUGCAGCAGAUGGUGGGAGCGGAUCAGUAUGACUUUAAGAGGACAGAACCUACAAGUCGAGUAGGAGCAGAGGUGGAGGGCUGUGCUUUAUGGUGAACUCUCGCUGGGGCUCGAAUGUCCGAACUUCCACAGAUAAAGAGAUGGACGUUCGGACAUUUAUCGCCUUGGUGGUCGUGGAUGUCUUAAAAAAGUGCAAAUUCGAAAAAUCGGACUAUGGAGAGAUGACCACCAUCACCCUAGCACAUCAGCUGAUGAUUGGAGUUGGUUUUCCUGAGCAGCAAGAAAGAUGCUGCUCAAGUGAAUGAUGAACUUCACGAAAAGACUCACCUCCACGUGAAGAGCAUGCUACAUUUUGAAAAUCCAGCUGUUAGGGGCUUAAUUACGGAUUGUUUUUCGAAAACGUAUCAGUGUCAGUUUAGUUCGUUUAUUUCAGCCUCUGUGUUUUCUGUUUUAUUUUGUAGUCUCUGUUCCUUGUGGGGUGUUUCUGUCUUCAUUUCCUGUCUUGGUGAUUGUCCUUGUAACUCCUCAUGUGUUGCACCUGUGGCCAAUUACCCCUGCCUACCCUGUAUGUAUUUAAGCCUCAGUCUUUCCCCUUGUCCUCUGUCGGAUUUUCUGUUUUGCGUCCUGUUUUUCUCCAGUGUUUCUUGUGCUCGUUCUUGUUCCUCUAGUCGUUCUGGUGGAUUAUGUUCCAUGUUGCUGUUCUGUUCUGCGUUCCUGUCCUGCCCUGUCCUGAUCUUCUGAGCCUCGUGUAAGCUUUUUUGUGCUUUUGUUUAUAUUAAAUACCCUUUUUGUUAAAUAUCUCCGCUCCUGGGUCCAUCUCCUUCCUCAAAUCGUGACAAUCAGGCAUAAUUCAGGAAAGCGUACAUAUGACAAAAUUGACAUUAUCUGUUAGUGUGCGCUAACCACUUUGAAUCGGACUGUUUUAUCAACCUGUGCCAAUAUAACGCCGGAUUCUCAAAAAGGUUGUUAUUGAAAGAGGGGUCGAUGCCAUUUUUCCAUCACAUUACUGAA